UAAGCGACUAAGCGUACACGGUGGAUGCCCUGGCAGUCAGAGGCGAUGAAGGACGUGCUAAUCUGCGAAAAGCGUCGGUAAGGUGAUAUGAACCGUUAUAACCGGCGAUGUCCGAAUGGGGAAACCCAGUGCAAUUCGUUGCACUAUCGUUAACUGAAUACAUAGGUUAACGAGGCGAACCGGGGGAACUGAAACAUCUAAGUACCCCGAGGAAAAGAAAUCAACCGAGAUUCCCCCAGUAGCGGCGAGCGAACGGGGAGCAGCCCAGAGUCUGAAUCAGCUUGUGUGUUAGUGGAACGGUCUGGAAAGUCCGACGGUACAGGGUGAUAGUCCCGUACACCAAAAUGCACAGGUUGUGAACUCGAAGAGUAGGGCGGGACACGUGGUAUCCUGUCUGAAUAUGGGGGGACCAUCCUCCAAGGCUAAAUACUCCUGACUGACCGAUAGUGAACCAGUACCGUGAGGGAAAGGCGAAAAGAACCCCGGCGAGGGGAGUGAAAAAGAACCUGAAACCGUGUACGUACAAGCAGUGGGAGCACCUUCGGGUGUGACUGCGUACCUUUUGUAUAAUGGGUCAGCGACUUAUAUUCUGUAGCAAGGUUAACCGUAUAGGGGAGCCGCAGGGAAACCGAGUCUUAACUGGGCGUUAAGUUGCAGGGUAUAGACCCGAAACCCGGUGAUCUAGCCAUGGGCAGGUUGAAGGUUGGGUAACACUAACUGGAGGACCGAACCGACUAAUGUUGAAAAAUUAGCGGAUGACUUGUGGCUGGGGGUGAAAGGCCAAUCAAACCGGGAGAUAGCUGGUUCUCCCCGAAAGCUAUUUAGGUAGCGCCUCGUGAACUCAUCUUCGGGGGUAGAGCACUGUUUCGGCUAGGGGGUCAUCCCGACUUACCAACCCGAUGCAAACUACGAAUACCGAAGAAUGUUAUCACGGGAGACACACGGCGGGUGCUAACGUCCGUCGUGAAGAGGGAAACAACCCAGACCGCCAGCUAAGGUCCCAAAGUCAUGGUUAAGUGGGAAACGAUGUGGGAAGGCACAGACAGCCAGGAUGUUGGCUUAGAAGCAGCCAUCAUUUAAAGAAAGCGUAAUAGCUCACUGGUCGAGUCGGCCUGCGCGGAAGAUGUAACGGGGCUAAACCAUGCACCGAAGCUGCGGCAGCGACACUAUGUGUUGUUGGGUAGGGGAGCGUUCUGUAAGCCUGCGAAGGUGUGCUGUGAGGCAUGCUGGAGGUAUCAGAAGUGCGAAUGCUGACAUAAGUAACGAUAAAGCGGGUGAAAAGCCCGCUCGCCGGAAGACCAAGGGUUCCUGUCCAACGUUAAUCGGGGCAGGGUGAGUCGACCCCUAAGGCGAGGCCGAAAGGCGUAGUCGAUGGGAAACAGGUUAAUAUUCCUGUACUUGGUGUUACUGCGAAGGGGGGACGGAGAAGGCUAUGUUAGCCGGGCGACGGUUGUCCCGGUUUAAGCAUGUAGGCUGGUUAUCCAGGCAAAUCCGGAUAAUCAAGGCUGAGGUGUGAUGACGAGGCACUACGGUGCUGAAGUAACAAAUGCCCUGCUUCCAGGAAAAGCCUCUAAGCAUCAGGUAACAUCAAAUCGUACCCCAAACCGACACAGGUGGUCAGGUAGAGAAUACCAAGGCGCUUGAGAGAACUCGGGUGAAGGAACUAGGCAAAAUGGUGCCGUAACUUCGGGAGAAGGCACGCUGGUGUGUAGGUGAAGUCCCUGCGGAUGGAGCUGAGACCAGUCGAAGAUACCAGCUGGCUGCAACUGUUUAUUAAAAACACAGCACUGUGCAAACACGAAAGUGGACGUAUACGGUGUGACGCCUGCCCGGUGCCGGAAGGUUAAUUGAUGGGGUUAUCCGUAAGGAGAAGCUCUUGAUCGAAGCCCCGGUAAACGGCGGCCGUAACUAUAACGGUCCUAAGGUAGCGAAAUUCCUUGUCGGGUAAGUUCCGACCUGCACGAAUGGCGUAAUGAUGGCCAGGCUGUCUCCACCCGAGACUCAGUGAAAUUGAACUCGCUGUGAAGAUGCAGUGUACCCGCGGCAAGACGGAAAGACCCCGUGAACCUUUACUAUAGCUUGACACUGAACAUUGAGCCUUGAUGUGUAGGAUAGGUGGGAGGCUUUGAAGCGUGGACGCCAGUCUGCGUGGAGCCAACCUUGAAAUACCACCCUUUAAUGUUUGAUGUUCUAACGUUGGCCCCUGACCGGGGUUGCGGACAGUGUCUGGUGGGUAGUUUGACUGGGGCGGUCUCCUCCCAAAGCGUAACGGAGGAGCACGAAGGUUAGCUAAUCCUGGUCGGACAUCAGGAGGUUAGUGCAAUGGCAUAAGCUAGCUUGACUGCGAGCGUGACGGCGCGAGCAGGUGCGAAAGCAGGUCAUAGUGAUCCGGUGGUUCUGAAUGGAAGGGCCAUCGCUCAACGGAUAAAAGGUACUCCGGGGAUAACAGGCUGAUACCGCCCAAGAGUUCAUAUCGACGGCGGUGUUUGGCACCUCGAUGUCGGCUCAUCACAUCCUGGGGCUGAAGUAGGUCCCAAGGGUAUGGCUGUUCGCCAUUUAAAGUGGUACGCGAGCUGGGUUUAGAACGUCGUGAGACAGUUCGGUCCCUAUCUGCCGUGGGCGCUGGAGAAUUGAGGGGGGCUGCUCCUAGUACGAGAGGACCGGAGUGGACGCAUCACUGGUGUUCGGGUUGUCAUGCCAAUGGCACUGCCCGGUAGCUAAAUGCGGAAGAGAUAAGUGCUGAAAGCAUCUAAGCACGAAACUUGCCCCGAGAUGAGUUCUCCCUGAGACUAUAAGUCUCCUGAAGGAACGUUAAAGACGAUGACGUUGAUAGGCCGGGUGUGUAAGCGCAGCGAUGCGUUGAGCUAACCGGUACUAAUGAACCGUGAGGCUUAACCU
rnacentral:rRNA from 1 species